AACACUGUUAACCUGCGGUACCUGCGGAGGGAUCAUUAACGCGUCUCCGACGGCGAGGGCGCGCCCCAGCUCCGGGCCGAAAGGCCGCGCUGCGGGGCGGCCCGAGCCGCUCGACCUUUGCGAACCCGCUGUGCACUUUUGUCGGCAGAGGCCCCCCCGGGGCCCGAGCCGGAAUCACAAACCCACUCGAAUCGAACGCUGAGCGGCCCCCGUGCCGCCUAAACUUUGACAACUUUCAAC
rnacentral:misc_RNA from 1 species